rnacentral:lncRNA from 1 species
AGACACAGCUGUUUCAUUGUUGCUAGCUACAGCACCUAGGAAAGUCACCUCUCUGAUCUGGACCUCAGUUCUUUCCAAUUACGUUUGAAUGACAGAGUUUGGAACAGCUGGAUUCUGAAGUGCCCGACCUUGGUACGUUGAGCUAACUGGUCAACCCAACAUAGGGGAGGGGAGGGCUGUCUACCGCUGGAGGCAGAAGACGCAGAUCGUGUUAUUACACAGGACUGUCUGGGCCUCAGUGUACAACCUGCAGAAUGCCCCUGAGGCGUCAGGACGGCUCGUUCUCUCAAGGAAAAUUUCCUGGGAGCUGAUACUCACCGGGCACACUGAGGACACAGGUGAAUCUCUCCAUCUGGGUCUCUCCCAUCAGAGAGUCCCCCGUCUGGUCACGAGAAGAAAGGGGCACACAAAGCAAACAAUCAUGGUAUGUUUUAUUCUUUCCCGGAUCCGGCGAAUAUAAAAUGAACGCCUACUAUGUGCAGGUGCCAUUCUCUGUGCUAGGAUAAUUCAAGUGAACAAGGAAGAUGUCUGAUGUCUCAAGGCCACCUCACUGACUUUCCUCUGCCUUCUCCCAAAGGUAACGGUCAUGGCUGGUGGAGUGCUUGCCAUGGACAGGACGCUUCGCUGCAGUUCCACAUUUGUUAGCACCGGUCGCCCCAGCGGUAGUGAUCAUCACGAGCGAUUACAACCCUCCCUAUUUCUCAUCUGAGGACACUGAGGUCAGAGGGGCCCGAAACCAUCCUGACAGUAGGAGACACUGGCCCCCGGUCUGCUAGUCUCCA